AAAAAAAAAAAAGAAAGAGAGAAAAGAAGCUGAAAAGAUGAGCCCUUCCAUCAAAGCAUUCCGAUGAAACACCCCUAGAAAAAGGAACAAAAAAAUUUCUCUCUCCUCAUCGGAGAAAAAAAGGUUGAAAUACAUGCACAAGUAAAAAAUGAAGGCAGUUUGCAACACAGAUACAAUUAAUCAUAAGAAACCGUUCAGUUAUCUGGAAUGGUAGGUCAAGAAUCAGAUUAUCCAUAUUGACAACCAGUAUAAAGAGAAGGGAUUGGUAAAUCAGAAAUGAAAAUGCUUUAUACGGGGUGGCCACUGGUCAGGGCCAAAACCAGCAAUUCCAGUUCAAGGUUCAUAGGAACCAAGAAAGGACCACAUUCCGGUCCUGGGUCUGGUCCAGUUUUGAUCAAAUCCAAAAUUUUUUUUUUUUUCAAAAGGCGCAUUUGGCCCACAAUUGCAUCAGACUGGUCGCCAGGUCUAGGAAGCAAGGAAUCAAGAAAACCAAUAAUGGAAAUGAUGGCCUUUCCGUUCCCUUUAUCCUAGUAACCAAAUAGGGUAAGAGUCUCAAGUUAACACCGCCUCAAAACAAAGGCAAGGGUUUCUGCUAUUGGUUUUUCACUAGCAUAAAAAUUUUAAGUUGUAUGGAGGAAUAGAAAAGUUGUUAACUUCUGCAGUUUAAUACUUCAACUACUUAUUGUGCCCGAAAGAAGGAAAGACUCUUGGUUAAAACGGAUUUUCAAAAUAACUUACUGUAUGUAGACGUAUCAAUCUGCU
rnacentral:misc_RNA from 1 species